rnacentral:lncRNA from 1 species
UUAGGUCUUAGUCUUUUCUUUUCCAUUUUUUAUGUUUAGACCAUUUUAAGUUGAUUAUUAAGAUGAAGUGAAGAAUGACGAUGAAUGCACAAUUAUGGUAUAAAGCGAAAUAAAGCAAAUAAAAUGACAAGAAAUUAAAAUGUUAGAAGUUAGGUAUUAGAAUUAAAAGUUAGAGUGCAGAAAUAUAAAGAGUUAGAUGUUAGGAUUAAUCAAAUCA